GUUUACAACGUCGCCAUUAUUUUGACCCAAUAGAAUACCAACGACCCGUCUUUUGGUUCCCUUGGCAGAUCGAUUAUAAGAAUCUACUGCUGACAGAAGUACUAAUGGAUGCACAAUCUAACCAAUGGUUAAUAAAAAAGUUUCUCAAAUUUUCUACUUACAACUUGCUGUGGGACGAUUGUAGAGGUUUCAGAGCUCACUGCAGGAGGCAUUAUAAC